rnacentral:lncRNA from 1 species
ACAAACUCCUACAUUAUGAUGAAGUCCUUAGAACUACUUAGAUCGAUAAAAGAGAAUUUAUCGUAUAGUUCUUAAAUUGAUUCGCAACCAAACGAUACGCUAUUACUAGGACGAUAGCGAUAUCAAGUGUAGAUCGUUGUGUGUCAUAUGCAUUCGUUGUCCUCGUAACCAAAUAGUAUGAAAAUAUUAGUAUGACAUGCAGA